rnacentral:lncRNA from 1 species
AUUUGAGGUGGGGUGUGGAUAAAUAAAUAAAAAUAUAUUCGAUAGCAAAAGUGAAAAUCCAGUGUAGAGCUCCACAGCUUCAGAGUGGCUCUUUUAAGAGUAUAGACGUUUGUUUGGAUAUUUAGUCUUUGUUUCUGGUUAAUUUAGUGUGUGUGUGUUUCUCCUAAGAAUUUUUAUACUAGCAUUUUAAAAACUAUUCUUUCCACCUCACUCCUUUUUUUCUAAUGGAUCCCUGUUUUCUACAAAAUAUUUUAGUCUCUUAGAGUAGUAAGCAAAAUUCUCCAGAACAUAGUUUGCCCCCACCCCCCUUCUUGAGACAGCAUCCCAGGAUGACUUGAAAGUCCUAAUCCUCCUUCCUUAGUUUCCCAAGUGCUAGCAUAAUAGCUUUGUGCCCUGGGCCCAACUUUAUGGUAUAGACUCUUUGUUGUUCUCUACACCCAGUGGAGGAAAUUUUCUAACCUGUGCUUGAGAGAAAUGUGGGGAUUCAGAUUUUUGGCAGUAAUAAGCUUAUGUAAUGAGAAAGUAUAUAUUUUAUGAAGUUUUGCAGUAGUUGGAUUCUGUAUGGCUUUUUAAACAGGCCUUUUGUGUUAGUUAUCCCUCCCUUUACCCUCUCCUCUUCCAUACCGUUUACCACCCCAAUUUAACCAUUCUUGUUUCACUAUGUCUCCUCCCUUGAAGGCCCUUCUCCCCUAUGGUUCCUUACUAAAUCCUGAUCUCUUUGAGUAUCCCAAAUGGAAGACAUAUUCAAAGCUAACAUCCAAAAAUGAGAGUAAACCUGAGAUCUUUAUCUUUCUGGGUCUGGGUUAUGUCACUCAGGAUGAUUGUUUCUAACUCUAUACACUUACAUGUGAAUUCCGUAAUUUUUCUUAACAGUUGAAUGAAAUUCCAUUGAGUAAUUGUAUCUCAUUUACUUAUGAGUUGGGCUUGACAUCCUACCCCUAGUUGAAGGCUGUUGGUAUGUUAAUUUGCUGAUAGAGGGAGAGAUAGCUUUCUCUAAGACUAGAGCUCAUGGUAAGAUACCCUAAUUCCAAUGGAAGACCAUGCCUCCAAAGAUAUUUAGACAGCAAAAUUUUAUCUUAAAGGUUGUUUUAAAAGGGAGACACAAAAUUGUGUGUAGAGAGAAGGACAUGAAUCUGGGAAGAGUUGGGGGAAGAUUAAGG